UUAUAUACAAGUUAGAUGAUUGGGCAGCAAGACUACAAUUGAAAAAGGAAAUUAUAAACAAAGGGGCCGGGCUUUGGCUUUACAGCCGAGAGAGAGGAGAAUGGUAUAAAUAAAUUCUCGCCACGGCAACGGAGGAUAGCGGCUUCGCUGUGGCUGGGAUCGACCCAACGGCCGACGUCCUGGACUGUCUUCCUGAUUCAUGGCGGAGACCGCGGCUCCCCCUCCUUCCAUCCAAUAAGACAGGGAGAAAGCAUUUGAAGGCUGUAGGGGAAAAGCACAUUAUUUGAGUUAGAACAGCAAAGCAGGCUUUCAUGGAGGAUUGAUGUAGGUGGAGACUCCGUGACAUGAUUAAGAUGGUUAUUUUUUGAAUGCGAGGGUCCCCAUAGAAGUACCAAUAAUGGUGCUAAAGGUCCACAAGAGGUGAGUGCUGCAUUAAUCUUCAUUUUUAAUGCAUUAUCUAAGUGGAAUGUCUUGUUGGUGUGUUGUAAUGGGAGUUGCAGGCCCAGUUGUUAGUGGAGGAUGUUUCUAGAGAACUGCUUUUAGAACCCUUGUACUUUGCAAGUAUAGUUUCAAUUCAAUUGGACUUUGGACAGGAAAAUGGAAGCUCAGUUCCCGUAAAAGGCCCAGCUUUCAUUUGUUGCUUUCUGCUGAAUGUUGAUGCAAGCUUUUAAUGCUGAUAUCUGUGAGUGGUAGAAUUCCUUUGUAAUUGGAUUGGUGAGUCAGUCUGAUCUUGAGAGGGAGAGGCAUGGCUCUUCCUCCACAUUUUUCUUUCCCACACAUGUGCAGGUAAUGCCGACAUGUGUUAUGUUAUUACAUCACAGGUAUAGAAUCUUGUGUGGUUGCAAGUGCAAUCAUCUCCGUUCAAUCAUGGUCAGGCUCAGUGUCCCACCAUGUGAAGGAACUCAGAUGCCUGUUCGUCAUGAUGUUGGAAUGGGCCAACCGAUCCUCGGCUUUUGAUGGAUAUGCAAAUGGAAGAAGAUAUGCCCACUUCCACCAAAGGAGAUCGCAAUGAUGAUGGUUUAUGCUGCAUUCUAGUGGGGAAACUGAUGUUAUGCCAAGGAGAUGCCCCUUAGCUUUCAGAUGAAGCUCUCUUCGUCUGAAGUCAGAUUGAAAGUUGAAGAGAAGAAAGAAGGGUGAGGGUGGGAGAGCCAGGAAUCCGGUAUAGUCUUUCUUGGUUGCUUCUGGAGAAAAGCUUUUUGUGCGGGCCACUGUUACAUGGAAGAAUAUGGAAGAGGGGGUUUUAGACUUGUUUAGACUACUUUGCAGGUGGCAUGAGAGCAAACCACAGUCCUCAGCUCGUGGGUCCUGUCCUCAAAAGGAAUAUCACCCCUUAUCAGAUCAAAUAUGCCUGUGACUGGGGUCCUUUGCCUGCUUGUGAGCAGACUAAAGAAAAGAUCAAAUAGGUCAGGAUUGUGGGCGAGGGGAUGAAUGUACCUUCUUAUAAUAAGUGUCACAUAUUUGGGUCUGAUGAGAUUGUGCACAGCAUUGAUUGAUAUUGGAUCCAAGGUUUGUAAACUCCAGAUUUUUCCCCCCUAUCUUGGUAGAUAACUAAAACCAUGUUGAACCAGGAUCUGUAAUUGAGUCGAACGCUGAACAAUUUCUAAAGCAAUUUAGAUA